GGGUGGUGAUGGGGAACUCCAGACACUAUAACCACUUCCAUUAGAGGAAGCAAUUACGGUGCCUACAGUGUUCCUUUAAAACAGGUGGACAUAAAAUGGGGUGGGGGCUCAGAGGGUCACUUUAUAAAGCAAGGUUUCCAAAUGUAAAUCCCAUAUGAUUUUAAGCCAUUAUUUGUAUUUCUUCAGUGUUAAUUAUUUAGAAGGUCUACACAUUUCUGUGUGUACAAGAGCAUGAACUAUAAGAAG